AUUGAACGCUGGCGGCAGGCCUAACACAUGCAAGUCGAACGAGUGGCGGACGGGUGAGUAAUGUAUGGGAAAGUGCCCGAUGGCGGGGGAUAACUACUGGAAACGGUAGCUAAUACCGCAUACCAUCGGAUGUGCCCAGAUGGGAUUAGCUAGUAGGUGGGGUAACGGCUCACCAAGGCGACGAUCCGUAGCUGGUUUGAGAGGAUGACCAGCCACACUGGAACUGAGACACGGCCCAGACUCCUACGGGAGGCAGCAGUGGGGAAUAUUGGACAAUGGGCGAAAGCCUGAUGCAGCCAUCCCGCGUGUAUGAAGAAGGCCUUCGGGUUGUAAAGUACUUUCGGCGGAGAGGCGUUACCCGCAGAAGAAGCACCGGCUAACUACGUGCCAGCAGCCGCGGUAAUAC
rnacentral:rRNA from 1 species